AAAAGAAAAUAGCAACCACCUGAAAGAUGACCAUAACAAGCCCAAGCCACGUAGCGAGUAGGAAGUGGAAAGUUUGCCUCUCAUCUGUGGUGCAUACCACAAGGAUGGUUGCUGUUUCAUUAGAGCCAAAAGAAAGACCAACCAAAUCCUUCCGAGAUUUCACGGCGACCACUACUGCAGGGAGAUCGCUUGGUGGGUUCGGUGAUAAUGCAUCUGCAGAACUGACCCUUCAGAGCAGUGUGGGAAACUGUCAUACAAGUGUAAAGGUGUAAAUGUAAGACCACAGGAGAAAAUAGGCUUCUAUGUCAGAUUACAUAUUCCUUCUCAGCUCCAGCAGGAAAAAAAUCUCAGCAAUUUUGCCCCAACACCAGAGAACUGGCAGGGAGAGAGACUUCCACAGCACCAGUAGAAGGAGCCAAGGAAUUAGGAUAAGAGCAUGGAAGUGGUGAGGCAAUGAAGAUGGAUGGGAAAACACAACAUGGCUUUCAGGCUUCUUAGUAGAGCAGUGAGAACAAACAACGGAGGAGACAGGAGCUGUAAGGCCUGGAAGCACAACUGAGGCACAUAAUAUGACUACAGGCUGUAAGUUGUAGAUCAAAGAAAGUAUAGUAGAUGGUUCGUGUCAAAC
rnacentral:lncRNA from 1 species